AAUGAACGCUGGCGGCGUGCUUAACACAUGCGAGUCGUACGAGAACUCUUUAGCUUGCUAAAGAUAGUAAAGUGGCGUACGGGUGAGUAAUACGUGGGUAAUCUUCCUCCGAAUUGGGGAUAACAUUGCGAAAGCGAUGCUAAUACCGAAUAAUAUCUUUUAGCGAUGGCUUUAAAGAUCAAAGGUGGUCACUACAUGUAAACUACUGUUUGGAGAUGAGCCCGCGUACCAUUAGCUAGUUGGCAGGGUAACGGCCUACCAAGGCGACGAUGGUUAGCUGGUCUGAGAGGAUGAUCAGCCACACUGGAACUGACACACGGUCCAGACUCCUACGGGAGGCAG
rnacentral:rRNA from 1 species